CACGUAGGGCGCAAGCGUUGUCCGGAAUUAUUGGGCGUAAAGAGCUCGUAGGCGGUCUGUUACGUCUGCUGUGAAAACCCGGGGCUUAACCCUGGGCUUGCAGUGGAUACGGGCAGACUAGAGGCAGGUAGGGGAGAAUGGAAUUCCCGGUGUAGCGGUGAAAUGCGCAGAUAUCGGGAGGAACACCGGUGGCGAAGGCGGCCUGCUGGGCAGUUGCUGACACUGAGGCGCGACAGCGUGGGGAGCAAACAGG
rnacentral:rRNA from 1 species